rnacentral:tRNA from 1 species
GACUUUGUGGUGUAAUGGUUAGCACAUCUGGUGCGUAUUUGAGAGGUCCAGGUUCGAGUCCCGGCGAGGGCA